rnacentral:tRNA from 1 species
UCUGCAUUGGGCGAGUCUGGAACUCCGCCGGGCCUGGCGCCCGGAGACGUUGGUUCAAAUCCAACAUGCAGGU